GAUGAACGCUAGCUACAGGCUUAACACAUGCAAGUCGAGGGGAAACGACAUCGAAAGCUUGCUUUUGAUGGGCGUCGACCGGCGCACGGGUGAGUAACGCGUAUCCAACCUGCCCAUCACUUGGGAAUAACCUUGCGAAAGUAAGACUAAUACCCAAUGACAUCCCACGAAGACAUCUGAAUGGGAUUAAAGAUUUAUCGGUGAUGGAUGGGGAUGCGUCUGAUUAGCUUGUUGGCGGGGUAACGGCCCACCAAGGCAACGAUCAGUAGGGGUUCUGAGAGGAAGGUCCCCCACAUUGGAACUGAGACACGGUCCAAACUCCUACGGGAGGCAGCAGUGAGGAAUAUUGGUCAAUGGGCGAGAGCCUGAACCAGCCAAGUAGCGUGCAGGAUGACGGCCCUAUGGGUUGUAAACUGCUUUUAUAAGGGAAGAAAGUGGGUCUCGUGAGACUUUUUGCAUGUACCUUAUGAAUAAGGACCGGCUAAUUCCGUG
rnacentral:rRNA from 1 species